AUUCUGGCUCAUGGAUAGAAAACCAAGAAAUGAUACCACCCAAAUCUUGAAACCACAUAGAAAAUUGGGUUGAGAUGCCUACAGACCCCUAAAAG